rnacentral:lncRNA from 10 species
AGCAUUGGCUGAGACCUCCAGCACCAUAACUUGUAGAACCGCAGAUCAAGGCACUUUCAGGAUUCACAUUCAGUGAGGCUACAGUUUUCUCGUCUUCUAAAUUUGAAUCGUUCUUGGACAUAAAGUGGUUUAUAAUACUAAAAAAAUUUUUUAAAUAAAAAAUGAAUAAAUUUGGAUAAUAGUAGCACUUACUUUACAGGGCUGUUGUAAAUAUUAUAUAAGACACUGCAUGUAAAAGGCUAAAUGUAUUAGUUGUUGUUGUUAUUGCUCUUACAUAGCAAUUACCAACACAUGCUCAUUACCCACCCAAUCAAUAUCAUUUUCCUGUUUAGAAAUAGCACAUACUAAGGACCGUAGCUACCAACACUGCUCACUGUAUCUUCUAGAAGAGUCAACCAGUAUCCUGGAAUCUCUCAGAAGGAAUUAUGAGAAGGCUGAUAUAAGAUGACCCUCAUUUCACCAACAAAGAAGUGGCUCAACUUAUUUCCUAGAAAGAGUUUUCAGGCUGUGGCACAGAGAGGGAGACCCAGGCAGAGUCCGCCAGUCUUCCUGAGCUGAGGAGAUAAAACUGGGGGUCCAAGGAAGCCAAGGCAACUGGAGUUCACAGAGCACAGUACCAGAGAGGACAGAAUUGCAGACAGAACUUCAGAGAUCUGGAGUGACAAGAUGUCACUGCACAUCCAUCAGAAUGGCUAAAAGAAUAAAUAGCGCAAAUACCAACUGCCGGCAAGGAGGCAGAGAAACUGGGUACACGCAUACAUUAAUGGUGAAAAUAUAAAUGUUAUGGCCACUCUGUAAAACAGUUUGUCAGAUUCCUUUUUUUACUGAUACAUAAUAGUUGUACAUAUUUGUGGGGUUUUGAUACAUUCAUACAAUGUUCGAUAAUCAAGUCAGAGUAAUUGGGAUAUCCAUUACCUCAAGCAUUUAUCAUGUCUUUGUGUUGAGAACAUUCCAAAUCUUCUAAUCAUUUUGAAAUAUACAAUAAAUUAUUGAUAACUAUGGUCAUCCUGCUGUGCUAUUGAACACUGUAACUUAUUCCUUCUGUCUAACUGUGUAUGCUUACCAUACAACCCAGCAAUUGCACUCCUUGGCAUUUAACCCAGAGAAAUGAAAACAUAUGUUCACAUAAAAACCUGUACAGAAAUAAAAUAGCAGUUUUCUUCAUAAUAUUCAAAACCUGGAAACCAUCCAAAUGUUCUUCAAUGGGUGAUGCAUUAAGCAAACCAUGGUACAUGUACCAUGGAAUAUGACUCAGCAGUAAAAAGGAAUGAACUAUUGAUACACACAAUAAAUUAGAUACAUCUCAAGGGCAUUAUGCUAAAUGAAAAAAAUGUAUCAUCAAGCAGCCAUGUACUGUAUGAUUCCAUUUACAUAACAUGGAGAACAGAUUCAUAGUUGCAGGGUCAAGGAUCAUGGGGAUAGGGAUAUACGCGUGACUACAAAGAGGUAUCACCAGGGAGAUCCUUGUGGUGAUGGAAUAGUUCUGUAUCUUGAUUGCAGUGGUGGUUACAGGAAUAAACACACAAUAAAAUGACUUGUAACUACACACACACACACACACACACACACACACACCACACUAAUGUUUAUUUCCUGGUUUUGAUAUUGUACUCUUUAAGUGAGAUAUAACCACUGGGGAAAACUGUUGACAGGUACAUGGGGACUCUCUGUACCAUCUUUGCAACUUUCUGUGA